GUUUUGGGGCUCACCGAUGAGGAAGUACCUGGGCGGGAUCCAGCAUCUCUGUGCACGUGGCGCCUCGGGAGCCACUUGCUCCCUGGCGAGCGGGCUUCCGCGAAUACCAGAAGGAUCCUGGUGUCCGAGUGCGUUCUUGCUGGCGAGACAAUUACACACGGGUCACAGCUGGUGCUGAAACUCGGGAAACUCACCAUCGCUGGCGCCGAGGAGACCCUCCGCUCGUGGAGAGGAUUCAGAACUGCAGGACAAAGGAAGAAGACAACCCAUUUUGGCUACCAGAGCGACUGACGUGACAACUCGUGAU